rnacentral:rRNA from 1 species
AGUGGCGAACGGGUGAGUAACGCGUAAGUAACCUACCUCUAAGUGGGGGAUAGCUUCGGGAAACUGAAGGUAAUACCGCAUGUGGUGGACCGACAUAUGUUGGUUCACUAAAGCCGUAAGGCGCUUGGUGAGGGGCUUGCGUCCGAUUAGCUAGUUGGUGGGGUAAUGGCCUACCAAGGCUUCGAUCGGUAGCUGGUCUGAGAGGAUGAUCAGCCACACUGGGACUGAGACACGGCCCAGACUCCUACGGGAGGCAGCAGCAAGGAAUCUUGGGCAAUGGGCGAAAGCCUGACCCAGCAACGCCGCGUGAGGGAUGAAGGCUUUCGGGUUGUAAACCUCUUUUCAUAGGGAAGAAUAAUGACGGUACCUGUGGAAUAAGCUUCGGCUAACUACGUGCCAGCAGCCGCGGUAAUACGUAGGAAGCAAGCGUUAUCCGGAUUUAUUGGGCGUAAAGUGAGCGUAGGUGGUCUUUCAAGUUGGAUGUGAAAUUUCCCGGCUUAACCGGGACGAGUCAUUCAAUACUGUUGGACUAGAGUACAGCAGGAGAAAACGGAAUUCCCGGUGUAGUGGUAAAAUGCGUAGAUAUCGGGAGGAACACCAGAGGCGAAGGCGGUUUUCUAGGUUGUCACUGACACUGAGGCUCGAAAGCGUGGGGAGCGAACAGAAUUAGAUACUCUGGUAGUCCACGCCUUAAACUAUGGACACUAGGUAUA